CAGGCCUAACACAUGCAAGUCGAGCGGGCGUAGCAAUACGUCAGCGGCAGACGGGUGAGUAACGCGUGGGAACGUACCUUUUGGUUCGGAACAACCCAGGGAAACUUGGGCUAAUACCGAAUAAGCCCUUACGGGGAAAGAUUUAUCGCCGAAAGAUCGGCCCGCGUCUGAUUAGCUAGUUGGUGAGGUAACGGCUCACCAAGGCGACGAUCAGUAGCUGGUCUGAGAGGAUGAUCAGCCACAUUGGGACUGAGACACGGCCCAAACUCCUACGGGAGGCAGCAGUGGGGAAUAUUGGACAAUGGGCGCAAGCCUGAUCCAGCCAUGCCGCGUGAGUGAUGAAGGCCCUAGGGUUGUAAAGCUCUUUUGUGCGGGAAGAUAAUGACGGUACCGCAAGAAUAAGCCCCGGCUAACUUCGUGCCAGCAGCCGCGGUAAUACA
rnacentral:rRNA from 1 species